rnacentral:rRNA from 1 species
GUGGGGAAUAUUGGACAAUGGGCGAAAGCCUGAUCCAGCCAUGCCGCGUGUGUGAAGAAGGUCUUCGGAUUGUAAAGCACUUUAAGUUGGGAGGAAGGGCAGUAAGUUAAUACCUUGCUGUUUUGACGUUACCGACAGAAUAAGCACCGGCUAACUUCGUGCCAGCAGCCGCGGUAAUACGAAGGGUGCAAGCGUUAAUCGGAAUUACUGGGCGUAAAGCGCGCGUAGGUGGUUUUGUAAGUUGGAGUUGAAAUCCCCGGGCUCAACCUGGGAACUGCCUCCAAAACUGCAUGACUAGAGUACGGUAGAGGGUAGUGGAAUUUCCUGUGUAGCGGUGAAAUGCGUAGAUAUAGGAAGGAACACCAGUGGCGAAGGCGACUACCUGGACUGAUACUGACACUGAGGUGCGAAAGCGUGGGGAGCAAACAGGAUUAGAUACCCUUGUAGUCC